UGUCCAAUGUCUUUAAUACUUCCUUUAUUGGGCUUUCUGGAAUAUAUUCGAUGCCUAGUUAUGGAAGUCAGUGUGUUUUAUUUUAUUUUAUUGUAUGUAAAUGAAUGAAUAAAAAUGCAAUAGAAAAUGCAACGUAAAUGAAACCUUUUAGAAUUUGAAUUGUGUAAGGUGUCAUAGGGAUAGCUGUAUUUUCAGUUGUUUCCUCCUACCCUUGCCAAAAACAAAUCGUUCCAAUCAGUGACCCAAAGAAGUUAGCAUUUUUAAACUUUUCUCCAGGAAUGAGAAUUUGAAAAGGCUGCAAGAUUAGUUGGUGGUAUAAGAAUUCACUUUAUAAGGCACAUUAAGCAUUAAAUGAUGUCCAGUGAAGGAACAUUGUUGUAAAGUGUCAUCUUUGUUUUCAAUUCCCUCUGUGGCCUUGCCCCUGCUCUCAAAUAUCUUCUCAUCCCGCAACUGCCCCUGUUACCUGCUGUCAUCUAAUCUUUCAGUUCCUGAACUUUUACUGUUUCACUGUUGGUAGCUGUACCUAUAGCUGCUUGGGCUCUUACGCUCUGGUCAUUUGAUUGUAAUAUUUCCUUGUCUGGAUGGUUUGUUUGAUUAUGCUUUGAAAUGUGCUGGGAUGCUUUAAGUUAGAGGUGUAACAUUGAUAUUUGAUGUAUUGAUGUAAAGUAUUGAUAUUGUAAUCUUUGUGGUGUGUUCAAAGAAGCAGUUGAGAACAGAAGUGAAGAAUUCCAAUACUGAAAUGCUCUUUGCAAGUGUCACAUGUGCAAAAGCACAUGAUGAUCUGUUUGGUAUGUAUGUUGGCAGCUGUUCUGUGGUAUCUCAUAACCGCAUGCAGACACGUCAGAGCCCUAAAUGCAUACUUGCUUCGGUUAAUGGUAACCCUUUUUACUCAGGUGGAUUUGAGCUCACUGCAUGUUAAGGUUGUCAAUGAGCCAAAAUAUUCCAGCUUUGUGAACACGAUGGAAACAUCAUUAGCUGAAUGUGAAACAAGUAUAUGGAAUAUGCUGCCUGAGAGAGUGAGGAAAGAAGAUUCUAUAUAAGUUUCAGAAGAGAAUGGAUAUGCCUUAAGGGGGCAAUAUAGGGACAUGGAGGAAGAGCAGGGCAAUGGAACCAAUUGGAUAGUUCCCUCUAAGAGCCGGCGCAGCCAUCAUUGGCACGAGUGGCCUCCUGUGUUCUGAGACUUGAUGAGGUAGGUCAAUCAGUGUUACUCUUGCAUAUAGUUGCACUUAUGUCAUGGAGUUGGGAUAAGAACAUAAAAAGAAAAAGCGGGGUAGGGCAUUCAUCACCUUGAGCCUUGUAAGAUCGUGGUUGAUUUGGCCCAGGCUUCAACUAUAUCAUGUCAGCUCCUUGUAACUCUAACUCCUCAAUUUCUAAACUCUACCUACCUCCUCUUUAAUAUUUUAAUCUAGCUUCUGCAACUCUCUCUGGGUUAGAAGAUUCCAGACGUUUACUACCCUCUGAGAGAGGUUCCUUCACAUCUCUUUAAAAUCAAUAUUCCCUCACUUUGUAAUUGUUGUAGUUCAGAUUCUCUCAAGUAAAAUGUUUUCUCAAUCAACCUUGUCAAGAUCGGAGUCUUGGAUGUUUCAAAAAGAUCACCCCUUGUUAUAAAUUCCAAUAAAUAAAGGCCUUUUUUAAAAUCAACCCUUUCUUCCCAGGAAUCAGCUUAAUGAAUCUGUUUGAAAGACCUCCAAAGCCAGUAAUUCCCCAUUAAAUAUGGGAACGACAGUACUCCAGGUGUGCCACACAGUGUACAGUAUUAACAAGGCUACUCUAUUUUUAAAUUUCAAUGUCCAAGUAAUGAAGGCCAAACUUCCACUGCUUCCAUAUUUACUUGCUGAAUCUCCAUGCUGGCUUUGGUUUCUGUACAAUAUCACCAAUUCCUGAUGAAUUUUUUUGAAGUUUGUUUCCAUUAAAAUAAGAGUCUGCCUUUUAAUUUUUCCUAAGUGUAUAACCUCUCUUUCAUGUAUUCUAUCUGCCAUAUUUUUGCUUGCUUGCUCACCCUAUCCAUAUCCCUUUGCAGAUGCCUUAUCUCAUCACAAUAUUCCCUCCCAUCUAUUUUAGUAUCCACAAAUUUGAAUUGAUUAGACUCUGGUCCCUCUUCAAAGUCAUGCACGUAGAUGGUAAAUACUGAGAUUCGAGUUGGUCCUGUGACAUUCCACAGAAAGCUGUGUCUUUCUGAACUGCAAAAGACUUCUUAAUCCUGACUGUUUAUCACACUAAAGACAAUCUUGAAGCCAUGCUAAUGUUAGCCCCAAUACAGAGAUCUUGGGCAGUUGCUUUAUAUGUGGGACGGGGGCAUCUUAUCAAAUGUCAUACAUUUGUUUUCCCCUUUAGCAACUCUGCUUGUUAUCCUCCAAAGAAUUCCAGCAAAUUUGUCAAAUGAUUUCUCUAUUACAAAGUUGUUUGAUUCUGAUUGCAAUAAGCUUUUUAAAAUUGUGCUGCUAUAGUUUUCUUUAUAAAUGGGCUCUGCCUAUCAUCUUUUUGGGGAAUGCUAGCUAGUUUGAAGUUUCCUGUUUUGUCUCCAACCUUCCCUUCAACAGCAACAUCACAUUAGAGGUGUUCUAAUCACUGGAAUCCUGUGUAUUCUGGAACAUUUCAGCC